rnacentral:rRNA from 1 species
UACGUAGGGUGCAAGCGUUGUCCGGAAUUAUUGGGCGUAAAGAGCGUGUAGGCGGCCAGAUAGGUCAGCUGUGAAAACUCGAGGCUCAACCUCGAGAUGUCGGCUGAAACCAUCUGGCUAGAGUCCGGAAGAGGAGAAUGGAAUUCCCGGUGUAGCGGUGAAAUGCGCAGAUAUCGGGAAGAACACCCGUGGCGAAGGCGGGUCUCUGGGCAGUAACUGACGCUGAGGAGCGAAAGCGUGGGGGAGCGAACAGG